CUGCUGCAGCUGCUGCUGAGCUGAUUUGCACCUGUUCAUGGCUCCCGCUCUAGGUGUCUCCACAGAUGUCCUGAUGAUAUUCCUUGUGCUAUCCACCUGGCCUACCCCAGCACUCUUCCAGAUCCAGGGAGAUCCAGAGGUUGAGGGGGCAUACCCCAGCCUCAAUGUGACCUUCAACCCUAGGACAAUGAACCUAAGCUGGGACUGCCCAGAGAACAUGACUGAAGCCAGGUGCUUUCUGAGACAUGAGGAGACAGGGAAAAUCAUCAUGAAGGUCUCCCGGAUGGGAUGCAGCUGCACCUUCACCUCCAUGACACUGCAUGCGGGAGCCACACUCGAGGUCCAGGUGACAGCUCAUCAGAGACACCUGCGUGAGACCCUGGUCUAUGUCAA